rnacentral:rRNA from 1 species
CGGGUGAGUAAUGUAUGGGGAUCUGCCUGAUGGCGGGGGAUAACUACUGGAAACGGUAGCUAAUACCGCAUAAUGUCUGCGGACCAAAGCGGGGGACCUCCGGGCCUCGCGCCAUCAGAUGAACCCAUAUGGGAUUAGCUUGUAGGUGGGGUAACGGCUCACCUAGGCGACGAUCCCUAGCUGGUCUGAGAGGAUGACCAGCCACACUGGAACUGAGACACGGCCCAG